GCUCACAUCUGGGGAACGAACCCGCGACCUUGGCGUUAUCAGCACCAGACAGACAUGGGUUGGAUUUUCAGAAAGAUGAUUAAUAUCUGCGACCAGCGAGGAGCUGAGCCCAGACACCUCCCCCACCGCCUUAGAUUCUGAGGAUGUGGCACCUUCUACGGGAAGCAGUCCCUGACCAUGCCCUCCCUCACCCCUGGCCUGCCUGUCUCCCCUGUGCUUCUGCAGUGGAGAAGAAGAACGUGGAUGCUGUGGGGGUAGGGCUGUGGCCUGAGUUAAUAUAUGUAUCCUCAGAACAAUGCCUGCACACCUCUAUCCCUAUCACAAAUGCAUCUGGGAAGAGGUAUGAAAGGUUUCAUGAGUGGCAUGAGUUCCCUGAGAAUGAAGACUGCCUGUUUCUCCUUUGA